rnacentral:rRNA from 1 species
GGAGGGUGCGAGCGUUAAUCGGAAUUACUGGGCGUAAAGCGCGCGCAGGCGGCUGGGUCAGUCGGAUGUGAAAGCCCCGGGGCUUAACCUGGGAAUUGCAUUCGAUACUGCCCGGCUAGAGUAUGGGAGAGGGAAGUGGAAUUUCCGGUGUAGCGGUGAAAUGCGUAGAUAUCGGAAGGAACACCAGUGGCGAAGGCGGCUUCCUGGCCCAGUACUGACGCUCAGGUGCGAAAGCGUGGGGAGCGAACAGGAUUAGAUACCCUGGUAGUCCACGCUGUAAACGAUGAGAACUAGAUGUUGGGAGGGUUAGCCUCUCAGUGUCGCAGCUAACGCGUUAAGUUCUCCGCCUGGGGAGUACGACCGCAAGGUUG